rnacentral:rRNA from 1 species
UACGAAGGGUGCAAGCGUUACUCGGAAUUACUGGGCGUAAAGGGUGCGUAGGUGGUUGUUUAAGUCUGUUGUGAAAGCCCCGGGCUCAACCUGGGAAUGGCAAUGGAUACUGGACGGCUAGAGUGCGGUAGAGGGUAGUGGAAUUCCCGGUGUAGCAGUGAAAUGCGUAGAGAUCGGGAGGAACACCAGUGGCGAAGGCGGCUACCUGGACCAGCACUGACACUGAAGCACGAAAGCGUGGGGAGCAAACAGG